GAUAAAGAACGCAGCGAAAUGCGAUAAGUAAUGUGAAUUGCAGAAUUCAGUGAAUCAUCGAAUCUUUGAACGCACAUUGCGCCCCCUGGUAUUCCGGGGGGCAUGCCUGUCCGAGCGUCAUUACAACCCUCAAGCUCAGCUUGGUGUUGGGCCCCGCCGCCCCGGCGGGCCCUAAAGUCAGUGGCGGUGCCGUCCGGCUCCGAGCGUAGUAAUUCUUCUCGCUCUGGAGGUCCGGUCGUGUGCUCGCCAGCAACCCCCAAUUUUUUUCAGGUUGACCUCGGAUCAGGUAGGGAUACCCGCUGAACUUAAGCAUAUCAAUAAGCGGAGGA
rnacentral:misc_RNA from 1 species